GAUGAACGCUGGCGGCGUGCUUAACACAUGCAAGUCGAACGGAAAGGCUCCUGCUUGCAGGGGUACUCGAGUGGCGAACGGGUGAGUAACACGUGGGUGAUCUGCCCUGCACUUCGGGAUAAGCCUGGGAAACUGGGUCUAAUACCGGAUAGGACCACAUUUUGGAUGGUGUGGUGGAGAGUUUUUCGGUGGGGGAUGAGCUCGCGGCCUAUCAGCUUGUUGGUGGGGUAAUGGCCUACCAAGGCGUCGACGGGUAGCCGGCCUGAGAGGGUGUACGGCCACAUUGGGACUGAGAUACGGCCCAGACUCCUACGGGAGGCAGCAGUGGGGAAUAUUGCACAAUGGGCGGAAGCCUGAUGCAGCGACGCCGCGUGGGGGAUGACGGCCUUCGGGUUGUAAACUCCUUUCGCUAGGGACGAAGCGCAAGUGACGGUACCUGGAGAAGAAGCACCGGCUAACUACGUG
rnacentral:rRNA from 1 species